AAGAAUCUGGAGGACAGGUGCUGCAUGGCUGUCGUCAGCUCGUGUCGUGAGAUGUUGGGUUAAGUCCCGCAACGAGCGCAACCCUUGCCUUUAGUUUGCCAGCAGUUCGGCUGGGCACUCUAAAGGGACUGCCGGUGUUAAACCGGAGGAAGGUGGGGAUGACGUCAAGUCCUCAUGGCCUUUAUGACCAGGGCUACACACGUACUACAAUGGCCGAUACAAAGGGCAGCGACACUGCGAGGUGAAGCCAAUCCCGUAAAAUCGGUCUCAGUCCGGAUUGGAGUCUGCAACUCGACUCCAUGAAGUUGGAAUCGCUAGUAAUCGUGGAUCAGCAUGCCACGGUGAAUACGUUCCCGGGCCUU
rnacentral:rRNA from 1 species